AUUGAACGCUGGCGGCAGGCUUAACACAUGCAAGUCGAGCGGGGUGAUGGUGCUUGCACUAUCACUUAGCGGCGGACGGGUGAGUAAUGCUUAGGAAUCUGCCUAUUAGUGGGGGACAACAUCUCGAAAGGGAUGCUAAUACCGCAUACGUCCUACGGGAGAAAGCAGGGGAUCACUUGUGACCUUGCGCUAAUAGAUGAGCCUAAGUCGGACUAGCUAGUUGGAGGGAUAAAGGCCUACCAAGGCGACGAUCUGUAGCGGGUCUGAGAGGAUGAUCGGCCACACUGGGAGUGAGACACGGCCCAGACUCCUACGGGAGGCAGCAGUGGGGAAUAUUGGACAAUGGGGGGAACCCUGAUCCAGCCAUGCCGCGUGUGUGAAGAAGGCCUUAUGGUUGUAAAGCACUUUAAGCGAGGAGGAGGCUCUUUUGGUUAAUACCCAAGAUGAGUGGACGUUACUCGCAGAAUAAGCACCGGCUAACUCUGUGCCAGCAGCCGCAGUAA
rnacentral:rRNA from 1 species